rnacentral:rRNA from 1 species
GAUGAACGCUGACAGAAUGCUUAACACAUGCAAGUCUACUUGAUUCUACUUCGGUAGUUGAUGGUGGCGGACGGGUGAGUAACGCGUAAAGAAUCUGCCCUUUAGUUCGGGAUAACCUUUGGAAACGAAGGAUAAUACCGGAUAUUAUGGAGACGUCGCAUGACGAUUUCAUGAAAGCUAUAUGCGCUAGAGGAGGACUUGGCGUCCCAUUAGUUAGUUGGUGAGGUAAUGGCUCACCAAGAACGCGAUGGGUAGCCGGCCUGAGAGGGUGAUCGGCCACAAGGGAACUGGGACACGGUCCUUACUCCUACGGGAGGCAGCAGUGGGGAAUAUUGGACAAUGGGCCACAAGCCUGAUCCAGCAAUUCUGUGUGCACGAUGAAGGUCUUCGGAUUGUAAAGUGCUUUCAGUAGGGAAGAAAAAAAUGACGGUACCUACAGAAGAAGCGACGGCUAAAUAUGUGCCAGCAGCCGCGGUAACAC